CCUACGGGGGGCUGCAGUGGGGAAUAUUGGACAAUGGGGGCAACCCUGAUCCAGCCAUGCCGCGUGUGUGAAGAAGUCCCUCGGGUUGUAAAGCACUUUCAGUGAGGAAGAACGCCUGGUGGUUAAUACCCAUCAGGAAAGACAUCACUCACAGAAGAAGCACCGGCUAACUCCGUGCCAGCAGCCGCGGUAAUACGGAGGGUGCGAGCGUUAAUCGGAAUUACUGGGCGUAAAGGGCGUGUAGGUGGCUUGAUAAGCCGGUUGUGAAAGCCCCGGGCUCAACCUGGGAACGGCAGCCGGAACUGUCAAGCUAGAGUGCAGGAGAGGAAAGUAGAAUUCCCGGUGUAGCGGUGAAAUGCGUAGAGAUCGGGAGGAAUACCAGUGGCGAAGGCGGCCUUCUGGACUGACACUGACACUGAGGUGCGAAAGCGUGGGGAGCAAACAGGAUUAGAUACCCGUGUAGUC
rnacentral:rRNA from 1 species